AUGGGAUUUUUGCUCCUUGUAAUUUUCGCUGUAGCAGCUUUGGAAGGUGUCCGGUCCCAGGUGCAGCUGGUGGAGUCCGGAGGGGAUGUGAAAAAGCCCGGAGACUCUCUCCGCCUCUCCUGCAAAGCCUCCGGGUUCACCUUCAGCGAUUACUACAUGAACUGGGUCCGACAGGCUCCUGGCAAGGGACUAGAAUGGGUCGCCCAAAUUCAAAUCACCUCUACAUACUACGCUGAUUCAGUGAAAGGCCGGUUCACCAUCUCCCGGGAUAAUCCCAAGAGUGAGCUGUAUCUGCAAAUGACCGGCCUGAAGCCCGAGGACACCGCCCGCUAUUAC